UAAGCAUUCUGUCAUAAAAACCAUUAUGUGGGUCUAUACACUUCUGUUCUUUUCUGCACUUUCAGUAAACUCUCUUGGAGAUGUAAUAACUUCCCAUGGUUCUGAAAAACAUGCUCAAGUGGGGAAGAGUGUUACUCUCUCCUGCAACUACAGUGGUACUGUAUCCAACCUACUGUGGUAUCGUCAGUAUCAGAGAUCCAAACCAGAACACCUUCUCUCCAUCGCUGAAUCUGGAGAUGCAGUUAAAUCUGAUCCAUCAGCACAAUGGUUAUCUGCUAAAGUUGAUAAAGACAGAAAGCUCAUGGAUCUGGAGAUCUCCCCUGCUAAACUGACAGACUCUGCUCAGUACUAUUGUGCACUGCGGCCCACAGUGAUAGGAUAUGUCUUUCCUCUGUACAAAAUCUUGCAUUUUGCAAAAUUAUGUGGCAUGGUUCAUUACACAUAUCACUGCAGUUCAGAGAUGAAAUGUCCACUGUAUGGUGCGAAAAGAAAGUUAAAUGUUCCCCAAACAGAUGAGAUUAAUGUUAAUGCUGUAGAGUUUAAUCAACAAAACUUAAAGAAACGUUGUGAUUAGCGACAUAUUCUUAUAUAUAUUUCCCUCUUGCCAUAGUCUUUAUUAAUGUAUUUUUAUGUGUAAAAUCCUUAAAGGGAUAGUUCACUCAAAAAUGAAAAUUCUGUCAUCAUUUACUCACCCUCAUUCCAAUCCCAUCUGACUUUUCUUCCAUGGAGUACAAGAGAAGAAAUUUUGAAGAAAGUAGACAGUGCUCUUGUUUUCCAUACAUUCAAAGUGAAUGUGUUCCAUGGAGGAAAGUCAUACAAGAAGUUAGGCAGAACUGACAGCCUC